GAUCAGAUGUGUUUUAUAUAAAAAUGUGCUAAAAUGUUUUAAUGAUUUAGAAAUCAACAGACUUCCUCACAGACAGAAAAUUACAAACGUCAAACAUGGCAAAGUUUGACCAACGUUCUCUGUGAUUAAACAGAAUCUGUUAAAGGGUUGGUGAUGUCUCCUCAACGGUUGCCUUCAGUCGCUUUAUCUGGUAAAACAACAACAGCCAAGGCUUCUUAUUCCUCACCAGCAUCUCAGAGGCGUCAAAACGCCACACGUAGAAAACCCAGACCCCCUCAUCCUGGACCCCCUCCCGUCCUCCUCUCCAACAGCGCUCUGACACCGUGGGGCGGUCCGGCUCUAUCUGCCUCUUCCUUUGCCUCCAUUCCUCCAGCCCCUCCUCUACGACCCCCCCCUGCUCCUCAGCCCACUCCGUCCACUCCUAAUCACUGCACAGUCCACCAAGAUGACGACGCUUCAACCACUAGUUUUAGCUCCGAUGCCCAAUCUCCAUCUGUGGGUGCCCCUCAGAGCCCCAUCACAGUGUGCACGGAUAAAGGUUUGCGGCCGAAGAGGAAAGUGCUGCCUCAGCGUGGUCAUCCUCGCCCACCACGCCUCCCCCCGCUUCGACCAAUCACAGACCUGAGCUUCUCUCGGAGCUUCACCUUCUCCUUCUUUGAGCUUCCUCUGGAUCAGUCGCCUCGAUGUCGCGCAGAACGAGCCAAAAACCUCCUGUUGCUUCUGAAACAGAUCCGCUACUGAUCUCCUGUAACUCAGGGGUGUCAAACCCAUGUUAGUUCAGGGGCCAAACACGGACAUGUUUGAUCUGAAGUUGGCCGCAGAGGUUGGGAAUCAAACCAUUUCAACAUUAGUGCUACUUUUUAUUUCCAUUUAUUAAUUCUAUUAAAGUAUGUCAUAUAAUAUAUAAGGCAGCGACAAUAUCAAAGCAAUAUGUUACAUGUGGUGGAUAUAUUUAUUACAUUUGGGGACAUUUUGUAAAUAUAUAUUAUAAAUAUUCAGACUGGAGGAGGGACCAGGGUUUUACGCUGAUGUCACUUUCUGCUGAUCCGAGCACUUUUAAUGGAGCAGUAUGGAAGCUAGGGCAGUCCUCUUGUUUCCACUCAGGUGACCCCCGGUGCAUGAAAACACCGACGACCUGGGUCUCCACUGGGAGGAAUUCAGACUCUACCCAGUAAUGAUGCUCAUAUCUGAACACUUUAGUAAAACCAGAAUCAAAGCGACAGAUUUCUUCUGUUUCUAUUCUUUCUGUAUUUACCUUUAUUAUUGUUUGUUUCUUUUUGGAUUUGUGUAAUUGUUUUAACAACUGUAAAGUGUCUUUAGCAGCAUUAGCUUUAGCAGCAUUAACUUUAGCAGCAUUAGCUUUAGCAGCAUUAAUUUUAAUAGCAUCAGCUUUAGCAGCAUUAACUUUAGCAGCAUCAGUUUUAGCAGCAUUAGCUUUAGCAGCAUUGACUUUAG
rnacentral:lncRNA from 1 species